CCUGGGGUCCCUCACCCCACUCAGGCAGACGACAGCCAGAGUGGGUCAAAGUGGCAACCCGCCGCGCAGCUCAGCCCUGGGGGCCCAACCCUGACUCAGGCGGCAGACCACCAGAAUGGUGAAAGUGGCAGCCCGCUGCGCUGCCCAGCCCGGGCGGGCCCCCCUCUACUCAGGCGGCCGACAGCCAGACUGGGUCAAAGUGGCAGCCCGCCGUGCUGCUCACCCCUGGCGGCCACCGCCAACUCAGGCGGCCGACCGCCCGAGUGGGUCAAAGUCGCAGCCCGCAGCGCUGCUCAGCCCUGGGGGCGCCCCACGUAGUCUGGCGGCCGAUCGCCACAGUGGCUCAUAGUGGCAGCCCACCGCGCUGCUCAGCCCUGGGGGUCCCACGCCCACUCAGGCGGCCGACCGCCAGAGUGGGUCAAAGUGGCAGCCCGCCGCGCAGCUAAGCCCUGGCUGCCCCACCCUGACUGAGGUGGCAGACCGCCAUAGUGGGUCAAAGUGGCAGCCCGCCGCGCAGCUCAGUCCGGGCGGGCCCCCCUCUACUCAGGCGGCCGACAGAAAGACUGGGUCAAAUUGGCAGCCCGCCGCACUGCUCAGCCCUGGAGGCCCCCCCCCCCACUCUGGCUGCCGACCACCAGAGUGGGUCAAAGUGGCAGCCCGCCGCGCAGCUCAGCCCAGGGGACACAACCUGACUCAGGUUGCAGACCGCCAGAGUGGGUCAAAGUGGCAGACCGCCGCGCUGCUCAGCCCUGGAGGCCCCAACCCCUAUCAUGCGGCAGACGGUCAGAGUGGGAAAAACUGGCAGCCCGCCGCGCUGCUCUGCCCUGGGGGACCCACGCCCACUCAGGCGGCCGCCCACCACAGUGGGUCAAAGUGGCAGUCUGCUGCCCCGCUCAGCCCUGGGGGGGCCCCCACUCGGGCGGCCGAUGGCGCAAGUGAGUAAAGUAAAAGUGGCAGCCCGCCGCGCCGCUCAGCCACGGGGCCCCCACUCAGGCUGCAGACUGUGUAAAUGGCAGCCCCUGUGGCUGGGAAGUGCUUUGCAUCUACAGAAGCCUCUGGAACUAGGGCUAUGUUCUAUAUAUUAUACAGAAUCCAGCAGGAAAUGUUCAUCCAAGAACCCAUGCAAAAGACGCCCAUCCUAUUCCGCUGUCUGCCUUCUAGAGGGAACCAUUAUUCCGAUUCCCCUGGGUUUUUUUGUUUGUUUUUUUU
rnacentral:lncRNA from 1 species